ensembl:lncRNA
UUCUAUUCCCCGUGUGAGGUCGUGGACGUUGGUACCGUUUUAAAAGAGCCACUAGUCUCUGUCCGGUGUCCCUCCGUACGUCCUGUCGGGCGUAGGACAGACGUCCUCCUGCUCAGUCCCCAGCACCUCCAUCAGUAGCGACAGGUGGGGUUGGUUGGUGUCAGAUGCGGCGCUUUCUGCUUGACUUACAGCGGACAACGUUGGAUGCAGAGAUGCACAAGGACGAGCGGCCCAGGCUGUUUGAGGGCUGCUGAUCGGACAACAAAGGUUACAUUGUUACUUCCAUCAUUUAUUUAAAAAAUGCACAGUGAGCCAUACAGCACGAGAAGAGUUCGUUUGUCUGUAGAGAUUCAGUUUGAAUUAAGGUACUUUAAGGUUUAAAAGUGAAUGUCUAUCUUAGCCGGGACUAAUUAAACAGAAUCUGUGUAUAUGACAAAAUAUGAAGAUAGGCAAGAGUUUCUUUAUGGGUAAAAAUUGGGGAUUCAUCAAUACUGAUAAAUCAGCGCUUUAAUAUAGAGAUGAAAAUGACUGCCUAUGUUUUGAAUAAGAGCGCCCUUAACGCCGACCACUAAUAGAUCAUUGAGGUGUGUGUGUGUGUGUGUGUAAAGAUCACGCCAUUAAAAAGAUCCAUGUUAUUCUUUAUUUCAGUGCCUGUGAUACGGUUCCGUUCCUUUUAGGUGCAAUAAUCGGGCUUAUAAUAAUAAUAAUAAUAAUAUAAUAACGUUCACGACACGUUGAGCUGGUGCUAAUGGACUGUAUGUCGUGGCCCCGUCUCAUACGUGUGCUUUCUUACCAGGGCUGCUGACACGCGAUACCAAUCCGUCUCACAUUACUGCCUCCACAGUGCGCCGCUUUAUUUACACGUGAAAUAUUGAUGUUCUUAAUUUAACCCCCAGGUGUCCGACCCCCCCGAGAGGAGGAGAGGCCUCUUCAGGCCUCCACCAAGCCCCGCCUUCUCUGUCACAGGAUUGGUUGACACGGCGCUUUACAUUCCCCCAUUGGUUGGUUGGCGUGUAGAACGGCAGCAAAGACCAACCAGUAAAACCAGUAAAGCCAGUGAAGUCCUUGUGUGUAAUGUGAGCGCGUUGCUGCAGUUGUGGGGAGUUAAGUGCAACAACAAAUAACUUAAUAGUGGUAUUUGCAUGUUACGGUGCCUCGGGGUGCACAGGAAGUGACAUAAGACGGUGAAACAAAAUGAAAGGAGAUGUUUUGGCAGAAUAAUGAUCCACAGAAAAUACUCCAAUUAAAUGGAAGCAGGGACAUAAGGGCCACAUAUGCCAAAAUGAUAGAAACAAUGAUGCAUUAGCAGCAUCAUCGCCAUCCCCAACAUCAUCAUCAUCAUCAUCAUCAUUAUUAUUAUUAUUAUUAUUAUUAUUAUUAUUAUCAUCAUUAGUAGUAGUAGUAUUAGCAGCAGCGUCAUUAGCAGCAGUCUGACAGGCCAAGAGAGAACAAGAGCAAAAGCACUUGAUUGAUUCAAUGCAAAAAAAAUGCAUCAAACAAACAAUAUUUAACAUUUAUUCCAACAGUUUAACAUAAUAAGGGCAUCUUGUUCAUACAAUUGAGUAUAUUAAUGUAUAUAUAAAUAAAUAAUGUUAUGUAAAAUGCAAUGUAAAUUUUCGGGCAAAGGGCUGUUCCCAAAAGCUGACAUUGAAACGAUAUGUCACUCAUUCAUCUUGACCAGUGAUUGGCUGACUGCUUCUUAGGCCCCAAGCCCAGCUGAGACCAGCGGAGAGGACGUCCAGGAAUCGGUGCCAACAACCCUGUAGUUGCUAAUGACACAAAGCUUUCGCCAAAAAAUCCAAAGAAAAAUAAAUACAAUCACAAAAUAUUAAUAAAAGGUAAAACAAUGAACUCAUUGGAAGUCAUUCUCAUAACUAGUGGGAUGCUUACUCGGGUAGAAUAAUAUGCCGCAAAAAACAAAAAAGCAAUUGUACAGUGUGUCAUACAACAGGGAACCAGUGUGUUCCCUCCAAUAAUAUACUGUAUGAACUCCUGCAGCACUUUAAUAACUAUGUUAUUCAAAUGUAAUCAAACCUUCCCAAAAAUAAGUCGUGGUACGGAAAGAAAUUUCCACUGAAUGAAAUAAGCUGUGGAAUAAUGUCAUUCACGUUGCUUUGCUUCCGUGUUGUUGAGUCUCCCAACUGGGCGCCAGAAAGAAAACCGCUGACUACGGAGAAGAACCUCAUGCAACAUCUAAGCUCUCAACGUCACUUUUCUUUGCUCUUCUGGCUUUUACAAUGCUUUGUUUACCCACAGCGGAGGUCGGUUUUUUAAUUAUUUUUCUUUUAUUCCCGUUUGAUUAUUAUCAUUCUAACCCAGAGGUCUUCAACAGGGAGUCUGGAAAAAACCUUCAUCCAAACCGCCCCCUUAACGCAGGUACCCAGACACAGGUAGGAGAUGCUGGAAAUAGAUAAGAAGAUUAUCAACCAGAUUAAUAGCUAUUACGUUUGGCUCAGAGGCACAGCUGUUAAACUGCUCCCACAUGCAGCAGCCAGAAAGGAGUCCAGGUUCAACCAGGCGCCGACAGCGUCCCUUCCAUUUUUCUCAUUAUGAGCCAACAUCAUGUUGAGUAUAAUUAGUACAAUACGGUAUAUUGCUUGUGCCCACCUGUCUGCAAAAAGACCGUUAAAUCAGGAAUCAGGAAACAUUUAUUACCAAAAUAUGUCAAACAUACAAGGAAUUUGUCUUGGCGGUUAGUGCGCGACAGUAGACAGACAAGACAACAGUGCACAAGUAAUAAAAUAAAGUAAAAUGAAAUGCUAAUGCAAUGGGUUAGUAGAAUAAGGCUAUGGGUUAGUAUAAAACAAGGGAAUAAAGUUAAAAAUUUUAAAUAUUAAAAAAGUUAAAAAGAAAAGUAUUAAGCAUAAAGUGCACUAACGAACAAGUAACAGACAAGAGACAAAGUGACGAGUGACGACAAAGUGAUGAAUUGCAGUUAAAGUGACGUGUGCAGUGUGAAGGGGAGUGACCGGUGGGAUGUUAUAGUCAGGCAGUGGGGGACCGGCUCUGUUGAUGAGCCCGACUGCCAACGGGAAGAAACUGUUGGUGUGGCGGGAGGU